rnacentral:rRNA from 1 species
AUAUCAAUAAGCGGAGGAAAAGAAACCAACCGGGAUUGCCUUAGUAACGGCGAGUGAAGCGGCAAAAGCUCAAAUUUGAAAUCUGGCUCCUUUGCGGGGGUCCGAGUUGUAAUUUGAAGAAGCGACUUUGGGCCUGGCUCUUGUCUAUGUUCCUUGGAACAGGACGUCACAGAGGGUGAGAAUCCCGUGCGAUGAGAGACCCAGGUUCGUGUAAAGCGUUUUCGACGAGUCGAGUUGUUUGGGAAUGCAGCUCUAAGUGGGUGGUAAAUUCCAUCUAAAGCUAAAUAUUGGCGAGAGACCGAUAGCGAACAAGUACAGUGAUGGAAAGAUGAAAAGAACUUUGAAAAGAGAGUGAAAAAGUACGUGAAAUUGUUGAAAGGGAAGGGCUUGAGAUCAGACUUUGUUUUUCCAUGGCGCUCUUUCGGGGGUGUCCUCUGGGUCUACAGGGCCAGCAUGGGUUUUGCGGGCGAGACAAGGACCUAGGAAUGUGGCUCUGCUUCGGUGGAGUGUUAUAGCCUGGGGUACUGGUCGCCAUGCGGGACCGAGGACUGCGGUACUAGGAUGCUGGCAUAAU